rnacentral:rRNA from 1 species
GGUGAGUAACACGUGGGUAACCUGCCUGUAAGACUGGGAUAACUCCGGGAAACCGGGGCUAAUACCGGAUGGUUGUCUGAACCGCAUGGUUCAGACAUAAAAGGUGGCUUCGGCUACCACUUACAGAUGGACCCGCGGCGCAUUAGCUAGUUGGUGAGGUAACGGCUCACCAAGGCGACGAUGCGUAGCCGACCUGAGAGGGUGAUCGGCCACACUGGGACUGAGACACGGCCCAGACUCCUACGGGAGGCAGCAGUAGGGAAUCUUCCGCAAUGGACGAAAGUCUGACGGAGCAACGCCGCGUGAGUGAUGAAGGUUUUCGGAUCGUAAAGCUCUGUUGUUAGGGAAGAACAAGUGCCGUUCAAAUAGGGCGGCACCUUGACGGUACCUAACCAGAAAGCCACGGCUAACUACGUGCCAGCAGCCGCGGUAAUACGUAGGUGGCAAGCGUUGUCCGGAAUUAUUGGGCGUAAAGGGCUCGCAGGCGGUUUCUUAAGUCUGAUGUGAAAGCCCCCGGCUCAACCGGGGAGGGUCAUUGGAAACUGGGGAACUUGAGUGCAGAAGAGGAGAGUGGAAUUCCACGUGUAGCGGUGAAAUGCGUAGAGAUGUGGAGGAACACCAGUGGCGAAGGCGACUCUCUGGUCUGUAACUGACGCUGAGGAGCGAAAGCGUGGGGAGCGAACAGGAUUAGAUACCCUGGUAGUCCACGCCGUAAACGAUGAGUGCUAAGUGUUAGGGGGUUUCCGCCCCUUAGUGCUGCAGCUAACGCAUUAAGCACUCCGCCUGGGGAGUACGGUCGCAAGACUGAAACUCAAAGGAAUUGACGGGGGCCCGCACAAGCGGUGGAGCAUGUGGUUUAAUUCGAAGCAACGCGAAGAACCUUACCAGGUCUUGACAUCCUCUGACAAUCCUAGAGAUAGGACGUCCCCUUCGGGGGCAGAGUGACAGGUGGUGCAUGGUUGUCGUCAGCUCGUGUCGUGAGAUGUUGGGUUAAGUCCCGCAACGAGCGCAACCCUUGAUCUUAGUUGCCAGCAUUCAGUUGGGCACUCUAAGGUGACUGCCGGUGACAAACCGGAGGAAGGUGGGGAUGACGUCAAAUCAUCAUGCCCCUUAUGACCUGGGCUACACACGUGCUACAAUGGACAGAACAAAGGGCAGCGAAACCGCGAGGUUAAGCCAAUCCCACAAAUCUGUUCUCAGUUCGGAUCGCAGUCUGCAACUC